UGCACCAUUAGCUCGGUUGGUAGAGCAACUGACUCUUAAUCAGUGGGUCCUGGGUUCGAGUCCCCGAUGGUGCAU
rnacentral:tRNA from 1 species